GGCCCCUCAUAGAAGAAUCUGACAUGAAACAACAAAAAAAUACAGAGAAAACACAAGGAAAAGGCGAGUGCAGAAGAAAUAAGACUGUAGUUUUUAUUUCUUCUAUUUUGCAAAAGUUACACCGAUAGUUGUGAAGUGAAUAUUGAAAGCCAAUCACAGUAGAGAAAAGAUGGUAUGUACUAAGCGCUCCACGUAAUCUUGUACCUCAUUUUAAUUUUUUCAGGUCAUUAAUACAUAAUUUUGAUAAUUUCUUUAAUCUGAAUCCCGAACCUUGAACUUUAAACUCGAAUCUUGAACCUCGAACUCGAACUUGAACCUAAACUCGAAACCUGAACCAUAAACCUCAAACUCAAACCUUGACAUGUGGUUCAAGGCCCUUUGGUUUAAGUUCGAGUUCAGAUUCCAAGUUUAGGAUUUAGAGUUUGAGAUUUGAGGUUUAGAUUAAAAAAAUUAUCAAAAUUAUGUAUCAAUAAUAUAAAAAAAUUAUUAAAAUAUCAUUAAACAAUUAAAAAGAGAUACGAGAUGAUGUGGCAACCCUAUUCAUACCAUCCUUUCUUAUCGGGGUAAAAAAGAUUGCAUGAAAUAAGAAUAUUAUUAAUUUCUAAUAGUUUUAUGUCACAUCAAUAAUUUCAUUCUAAAUUUCAGAAUUUUCAGUUGGAUUUAAUUUUUUCAAGAUAAAAAUAAUAAUGUAACAUAAAACUAUUUAAAAAAAACACAGAUAACGUAACUUCACUAUUUCAUACCAUCAAAAUCUAACGCAUCUAUUUUUACAAAACCCACCACUCAAACUACAUGCGCCAAUGUUCUUCAAAGCAUUCAUUUUUAUAGCCGCCUAAACAAAGGCUUUUUUUGCAGUUUCAACUGUUUGUCGGCACAACAACAAAAAAGUGUCAGGUUUUGGAUUGUCGGUUGUCACAUUUGGUGAAUGUU
rnacentral:lncRNA from 1 species